rnacentral:rRNA from 1 species
GGGCGUUUACCACGGUAUGAUUCAUGACUGGGGUGAAGUCGUAACAAGGUAACCGUAGGGGAACCUGCGGUUGGAUCACCUCCUUACCAAAGAA